GGCUCACACCGGUUUAAACUCAGAUCAUGUAAAAUUUUAAAGGUCGAACAGACCUAACUUAUUAGCCUCUACACCAAUAAUUAAUUUUAAUCCAACAUCGAGGUCGCAAUCUUUUCUUUCGAUAAGAACUCUAAAAAAAAUUACGCUGUUAUCCCUAAGGUAAUUUAAUCUUAUAAUCUAAACUUUAGGAUCACUCAUAUACAAAUCAAUAUUCUAAAAUAAAAAAAGUUAAACUAAUUUUUCUAUCACCCCAACAAAAUAAACUCUUUAAAUAUUUAUACACUUAAUCCUUCAAUUAAAAUAUUUAAAUAUCUAUAAAACUCUAUAGGGUCUUCUCGUCUUCUACAUUAAUUUGAGCUUUUUUACUCAAAAAUAAAUUUCUAUUAAAUUCUAAUAGAGACAGCUAUUUUUUCAUCAAACCUUUCAUUCCAGCUUUCAAUUAAAAAACUAAUGAUUAUGCUACCUUUGCACGGUCAGUAUACCGCGGCCAUUUAACUGCUCAGUGGGCAGGUCAGACUUGAAAUUAUUAUCAACAAGCCAUGUUUUUAAUA
rnacentral:rRNA from 1 species